UAUUUGAGCGUGUACCAAGAAUCCAAUGCACCUUAUCACACAGAAACAAAUAUUUGUCAAUCAUGAUCGUCAGAUCAAGUUUCAGAUCAAGCCAGCCACAAUUGUGGGAUCAAUUAAGAAGUGAUCCAAGGGUCCCAACGCUCCAGGUGCACUAGAUUACCAUGCCAGCAUCUGCAUCGUAAUAUUUCUCAGAAUAUCUCUCUUCCUCACUAUCGAUUCUUUCUAUCAUCAGAUCUCCCAACCCCGGCCACUUCACGACACCUUGUCACCAUAGAAAGACUCCUCUUCUCCUCGCGAGAAAACCCUUGGUGGUCCUCAUCGCAGUCUACGCCUUAUAUGGCCGAAAAAAGCCAGCAAAACCUUUGGCCAACUGAAGCCUCAAGCCAUCAAUUCUCUCUCCCUAGUGGUCAAAGACCUAAACCACCACCACCAGUGGAGUACUAUCAUUGUGAUCUACCAGAAUCUGCCCUUGUUUUCACGAGUUCUCGUUGGAAAAUUUCACCACCUCCGAGAGCGGACGAGCGUGAGCUAUACGCGCCACCAAAGGCGGGUUCUUGUAUUCCAGAGGAGGAAGAGGAUGAACAGUGUUGGUAGAGGACCAUUGGGUUUGAACCGGUUUGGAAUGGAAAAAAACCGAACCGAACCGAACCGAAAUUAAUCGGUUUGAACCGGUUUUCGGUUCGGUUCGGUUCAAAAAAUUAAAAAAAAAUUCGGUUUGGUUGUUUAAUUUGGUUUAAAACCGGACCGAACCGGAAAUGCUCAGCCCUAUGUUUGGUGAUGGUCCUUCACUUCCUGCAACAAUAGCUAAAUAUAAUUUUAUUGGGGUAGAUUAUAAAGUAGUUCCUCUAAUUUGUUUUUUUAUUUUUUUUAGUCUUUCUAGUCUGAGAAACUAAUUAAUUAUUUUCUUUUCUUGGUAUUCAUCGCACCCAAUUUAAUAUUAUUUUAUAUUAAAAAUAUCUUAUUAUU